rnacentral:tRNA from 1 species
GAGGGUAUAGCUCAAGUGGUAAAGUGCAUGAGAUACAUGCAUGAGGUCCUGGGUUCAAUCCCCAGUACCUCCU